UUCUGUUUUUCCGCAUUGCUGCAGAAGACGGUGAACAUGGCGUCGGCCCUCGGUCGUCUGGCCCGGCUGUCCGCCCUCAAACACGGCCGAUUCCCCCGGCUGAGCCCCUCUACCGGGCCGGGGAGGACCGUGACACCGGGCCGGACAGCCGUUACCUCCCCCACCGGAAGUAUUCUACCCAAACCCAAGACGACCCCGUUCGGUCUGAUCCGGAUCGCUCUGGUCGUGGUUCCCUUCCUGUACGUGGGGACUCGGAUCAGUAAGAACUUCGCGGCGCUGCUGGAGGAGCACGACAUCUUCGUCCCCGAUGAUGAUGAUGAUGAUGACUGAGGGGUCCGAGGACUUCCGGGUUUUCAGGUAUCAACACAGGGGGACAGUAACAGGCGGGCCGGCUCCAGGAUUUAUCAGGGCCCCAUGAACAGAUCUCACAUUGGGUCAACAGGUCGUCGAGUGCGGGCUGCACGGUGCCGCUCGUAUCGUUCUGCAUGCACUGAAGAAAUCUUAAUAAAGGGAUGAAGGUUUAAAUGUCA